UUUUUGCGAUGGGACUUAAAUCCUAGCAAUAGGGUCAUAGAUUCCUCCUGAAAGCAUAUCCAACAUAACCUAGAAGUAGAGUUUACAUUCCCAAGAACCGUCAACUUGGCACUUCUAGUGGUAAAUCCCUUUGAUCACCGAAAACGUAGAGAUUUUAGAAGUCAUGUGUUCGAUUUGUGUUGGAAGGGGUGAGCUUUCCAAAUGAUGGUUUAGACCUCGCUCUAAGGGAUGUACGAGAUCAC